UCAGGGAGGGGGAGGGAGGCCUUCCUGCCACAGGCCCACUUAGCCCGCUGGCUGGGUUGUUGGGAUGGAGUGAGGGGGCCCGAAGUGGGGAAUCAGGCAGGGAGGCAGGCGCGGGAAUUCAUUCUUCUUGUACCCCUUAAUCGGGUCAGAUCCUCAGAGGUCAGCCCCACAAAGGCAGGGGUGUUCCGUGCCUGGCGAUCAGUAAAUGUUUGUUUAAUGACUGAGGCUCAGAGACAUGCAGGAUGUACUCAGGGUCACACAGCAGGUCAGUGAGAGAGAGACAGAGGCAAACCCAGGGCUGUCUGAGGACAGCAAAUGGAAAGAAGCAUUCCGUGCAACUCUGGAAGAAAGAGAAAUCGGGAUUGAUAAUGGGUGUAGUGGGUUAGAUCGUGGCCUCCCCAAAAGCUAAGUCCCUGUCCUAAUCGCUGGAACCUGUGAAUGUGAUCUUAUUUGGAGGAGAGAUCUUUGCAGAUGUAAUUAAAUUAGGGGUGUCGAGAUGAGAGCAUCCUGGAUUAUCAAGUGUCCUUACAAAGACAUACAGAACAGAGGGGUAGCAGUGUGGCGCAGGGAGAGCCCGAAGUCGCCAGAGGCCAGAGGGAGGGUGUGCGGCCCUGUGACAUCUUGCUCGUGGACUUCCAGCCUCCAGGACUGUGAGAGGUUACACUUCUGCUGUUUGGGGCUUUUGUUCUUUUUUUUUUUUUUUUUUUUAAGUUUAUUUAUUUGUGAGAAAGACAGAGACAGCGUGAGUGGGGGAGGCAUAGGGAGCGAGGGAGACACAGAAUCCCAAGCAGACUCCACACUGUCAACACAGAACCCGACGCAUGGCUCGAACUCACGGACCGUGAGAUCAUGACCUGUGCUGAAACCGAGAGUCGAACGCUUAACCGACUGAGCCACCCAGGCGCCCCUCUGUUAAGUCACCCAGUUUGUGACUUAGUAAGCUAGCAAGGUGAGUGAGGUAACCACAGGUUCCUAGGUAUUUACAUUUCCUUAAUUCUUGCUCCCAUGGGGAUCGUACUUAGAAUUAGCAAGGAACUAUACUGAUUUACUGAUUGACGUCUCUUACUCCCUUCCCCUCACCCCCCUCCAGUUGGGGUGGAACACAGGCUAAACUGCCUAGUAAGCGCAUCCGCGAGGAGAGAGCUGUUGUGAUCACUAAGUCCUACCUAAGAAGGCAUUCCUGGGGCGCCUGGGUGGCUCAGUCGGUUAAGUGUCUGACUUCAGCUCUGGUCAUGAUCUCACGCUUCCUGGGUUCGAGCCCUGAGUCAGGCUCUGUGCUGAUGGCUCAGAACCUGGAGCCUGCUUCGGAUUCUGUCUCUCUCUCUCUCUCUCUCUCUCUCUGCCCCUCUCCCGCUUGCACUCUGUGUCUCAAAAAUAAAUAAAUGUAAUAAACAAAAUUUUUAAGGAAGCAUUCCUCUGCCUUCUCUCCUUCCUUCCUUCCCUGCCCGUCUUCCUUUCUCUAGUCCCUACCCCAUACCCCUGUCUGUACUCUUCUCUCUCUUUCUCUCUUCCUUCCCUUCCUGUCAGUGCUACGCUCCCAGAACCUAACAGGGAACAGCAGGUUCUGGCCAAUCCCAAAUGCCAGGAGGUGGAACACAGAAUCUGGAGACACUUUGCAAGCCUGACCUAGAAUGAGAGACGCUGUCACCCCCAUACACCUCCCCAGGAGCAGGACUUGUCCUCUGUGCCCCGUGUCCAUCUGCCACAUGGGCUGACACCUAACACAUAUCAUUCAGUAGAGGAAAUAGACAACCGAGAAUAAGUCCACUGAGUGUAGCUACAAAUGAAAACGCUUCUUUAUUUUUGUAACUGUUUCUGUCACUGCAGUCACAGCCUGUUCUCGACGGGCCUGCCCAUUGGAGCUGGGGAAAGCUGCCUGCCUGCCCAAUUCUCGGUGACGACUGUGGGGACAGUGAUGGCGAAGGGGGUGUGUGGUGGCCAGUAAGGCAUCAUUAACAUGGUGGAGGUGAUUAGGGUAGCAUUUCUGACGUGGAGGCAGUGGUGGGGGUGAGAGUAAGUAUGGCGGUGAUAGUGGAGUUGAUAAUGACAGACGAGGUGCUGGUGGUGGUGACACUGACCCUGGACGCGUAACAAUGGACGGGAUGGACGGUCAUUGGGUACCAUUGAUAGUGACAGUGGAGGUGUGAUGGGGAGGUGAUGGAAAGGCUACUAUUGGGGAGGGUGGUCAUGGCAGCCAUGGUCCUGGAGGUGGUGACGUUGGUGACGGUGAUGGUGACGAAGGCAAUGGAGUAGAGGAAGUUGCGUGUUGUACAGCUUUGCUUUGGUAACAACCCCCACAUCCCAGAGCCUUAUGACAGCCAUUUAGGCCUUGCCCACUUCUGUCAGCUGCUGGGGUUCCAACUCGUACGUCUUCUCAUCUGGGAUUCCGGAUGAGGAAGGGCUCCGGUCUGGAACGUGGCAUUCUCGUGGCAGAGAGGGUGGGAGAAAGAGCCGGGCGAAAGGCAGAGUGCCUCUGGAAACUUCUCCCGGGAUGGGAUGUACGUCACCCUUGCUCAUGCCAUGAGGCCAAGGCCAGCAUCAGCGAGGUGGGGAAUGGCACUCCUUCAGGAAGGGUCCGCAUGUCUCAGGCUACAGGUGGGGAGGCACAAUCCUCUUAGGGAGUGGGUGAUCCUACAGCAUGCGGGGGGUGGGGGGUGGCCCUGGUGCUGCCGGCGAUGGCAAUGCUCUGGUGACCGAAGCGCUGCUCAACACGACAGGACCUGUGACAGCAAUGGAGGGCUUGCUGACAAUAGUCAUGAUGUGCUCUAGCUACGGUGUUGAUGCUGAUGGUGAUGAAGCAGCAGGGUGGAGUCUGCCAAUGCAUGAGCUACGGAAAGCGGAGGAGAGAGAGGCCGUUGUGGGCCGAUGGCAACUGGAGGGCCCCUGGUUCUCUAACUGCAUUACCUUCAGGAUGGAUGGGUGACAGCGAUGGAUGGGCCACUGGAUGGACAGUGACAGGCCUGCUCACCGGGGUCCCAGCACACAUCUGGGUUUCACUGAGUCAACUGGAGAAGGGCCUAGGUGACUUCCAUGCAAUUCGCAAUUCAGAUCCACACAUCUUUCUGCGCUGGUGUAGGUGCGAGCUGGAGACAGAGCAGAAUUCAGCUGUGUCACCCACACCCACAGAGGGCCCUCCCAAUCCCAGGCUGUGGGAAAGGAGCAGAGACCCACAAACACGUGAAGGCAGCUGCAACAAGCACUGGGGACACCUGGGGUGACAUCUGGGCAGGGCUUAAACAGGGCAGUUCCAGCAGGGUCUAUUGAGAGAGGUGACAUUAGCCUUUGGCUAGGGCCUCACACAUGUGAAGGUCCUCGGAUUUAGACUCUGGAUGUCCUUUCCCAAUGGUAUAAAUUGCUUGGUUGUGGAAAAAACCGUGUUUCCAGGUGGGAAGAAAAUGUUCAUCAUAGGGCUGUAAGCACUUUCAGACCACGGAGUGCAUUAUUAAUGAAUCUCUUCCUAAAUCAGUGCUCUCAACAGGGUCAGCCCUCCCUCCCCAGGGGAAAAUGACAGGAGACAUCUUUAAUGGUCAUGACAAGGGGGUAGGGUUGCUAUUGGCAUCUCGUGGGGCGGGGUCAGGGAUGCCACCAAACAUCCUACGAGGUACAGGACAACCUUCCGCCACAAAUGAUGAUCCAGUCCCCAGCGUCAGUGCUAUCGAGGUGGGGGACUCUGGUCUGAACCCUGAAGCCACCAUUUGAAAAGUACGGUUAUAUUGCAUUUGUGUUUUUACUGUGCCUAAGGCAUUCAUUUCUUUAAUGUGAACGUUCAAAACAUACA